UACAGAGGUCUCAAGCGUUGUUCGGAUUCAUUGGGCGUAAAGGGUGCGUAGGUGGCGCCGUAAGUCGGGUGUGAAAUUUCGGAGCUUAACUCCGAAACUGCAUUCGAUACUGCGGUGCUUGAGGACUGGAGAGGAGACUGGAAUUCAUGGUGUAGCAGUGAAAUGCGUAGAGAUCAUGAGGAAGACCAGUGGCGAAGGCAGCCCCCCUGGGUCAAGAUUGACGCUCAUGCACGAAAGCGUGGGGGAGCAAACAGG
rnacentral:rRNA from 1 species